rnacentral:rRNA from 1 species
GUAGGUGGCAGAGUAUGUCUGUAGUGAAAGCGUGUGGCUCAACCAUAUACACAUUACAGAAACUGCUCAGCUAGAGGGCGAGAGAGGUUACUAGAAUUCCUAGUGUAGGAGUGAAAUCCGUAGAUAUUAGGAGGAAUACCGAUGGCGCAGGCAGGUAACUGGCUCGUCCCUGACACUAAGGCACGAAAGCGUGGGUAGCAAACGGGAUUAGAUACCCCGGUAGUCCACGCCGUAAACGAUGGAUGCCAGCUGUAAGAGGUAUCGACCCCUCUUGUAGCGAAGCUAACGCGUUAAGCAUCCCGCCUGUGGAGUACGGUCGCAAGACUAAAACAUAAAGGAAUUGACGGGGACCCGCACAAGCGGUGGAGCGUGUUGUUUAAUUCGAUGGUAAACGAAGAACCUUACCCAGGUUUGACAUCCUUGGAAUUUUGCCGAAAGGCGAGAGUGCUUUAUUGAGCCAAGUGACAGGUGUUGCAUGGCCGUCGUCAGCUCGUGUCGUGAGAUGUUUGGUUAAGUCCAUCAACGAGCGCAACCCUUAUAGUCUGUUGUAUUUUUCAGGCUAGACUGCCCCGGUAACGGGGAGGAAGGAGGGGAUGAUGUCAGGUCAGUAUUGCCCUUACGUCCUGGGCUAGAAACGCGCUACAAUGGCCGGUACAACGCGAUGCCAACCCGCAAGGGGGAGCAAAUCGCAUCAAAGCCGGUCCCAGUUCAGAUUGCAGGCUGAAACUCGCCUGCAUGAAGUCGGAAUCGCUAGUAAUCGCAGAUCAGCACGCUGCGGUGAAUACGUUCCCGGGUCUUGUACACACCGCCCGUCAAACCAUGAAAGUGACCAACACCCGAAGUCCGAUUCGUCGGCCUAAGGUGGGGGGCAUGAUUGGGGUU